rnacentral:other from 1 species
AAUUCCCUGCCCUGUUUGUGUAGAAUCGGUCAUUUUGAGCCAACACUUAAUAGAGAGGGAACCUGACUUCAGGUGUGGCGUGCAAGCCGCUUUUAGGGUGGAAGCAUAAAACAUCUGAGAGGGUACCCACUUGGAGAAACCGGUUCAUAAGAUGUCUUUUCACACGGCAGGUGCGGGGAAGUU